rnacentral:rRNA from 1 species
UACGUAGGGCGCGAGCGUUAAUCGGAAUUACUGGGCGUAAAGCGUGCGCAGGCGGUUUUGUAAGUCAGAUGUGAAAUCCCCGGGCUUAACCUGGGAACUGCGUUUGAAACUACAAGGCUAGAGUGUGGCAGAGGGGGGUGGAAUUCCACGUGUAGCAGUGAAAUGCGUAGAGAUGUGGAGGAACACCGAUGGCGAAGGCAGCCCCCUGGGUUAACACUGACGCUCAGGCACGAAAGCGUGGGGAGCAAACAGG